rnacentral:sRNA from 2 species
CCCUAGCCCCGAUAGAAGUGGAAAUCCUUUUGUGGCAGGGUUCGACACAAAAGAUUGAAACGGAUAGCGGGAUUAGCU